AUAUCAGUCAUGCAUAGCAUAUCAAUAAGCGGAGGAAAAGAAACUAACAAGGAUUCCCUUAGUAACGGCGAGUGAAGCGGGAAGAGCUCAAAUUUGAAAUCUUCAAGGUUUUACCUUGACGAAUUGUAGUUUAAAGAAGUGUUUUCUGUUGAAGUUUUGGUAAAAGUUCUUUGGAAUAGGACAUCAUAGAGGGUGAGAAUCCCGUAUUUGACCAUUACUUUCAGCUUUGUGAUACACUUUCAAAGAGUCGGAUUGUUUGGGAAUGCAGUCCAAAAUGGGUGGUAAAUUUCAUCUAAAGCUAAAUAUUGGCGAGAGACCGAUAGCGAACAAGUACCGUGAGGGAAAGAUGAAAAGAACUUUGAAAAGAGAGUUAAACAGUACGUGAAAUUGUCAAAAGGGAAGCGUUUGACACCAGUGUUGUUUUCUCGAAAAUCAAUUAAAAAGAGUUGGAUUUUGUGUUGUAUUGACUUUAUCAGCUUUCUUCACUCUUUUCCAGCUUUUUUUAAUGCACUUUUCGUUUAACAAGUCAACAUCAGUUUCUUUUGUUGUAAAAAGGUCAUUGGAAGGUGGCUUUCUCUUCGGAGAAAGUGUUUAUAGCCUUUGACUCAUGCAAUCGGAGAGACUGAGGUCUGCAGCGUAGAUCCCUCGGGGUUAGAUACAUUUGUGCUAAGUUAUAGCUUUUCAUAGACAACUUGUUGACUAUGUUUAGUCUUGUAGCUUACUCGCUUAUGCUAUUUUACCUACGCUUAGGAUGUUGAACUCUAUCACACACAG
rnacentral:rRNA from 1 species